CUAUGUUAAAAUCCCUGACAUUCUCAUUCCCUUAGAGUCCUGCCAUAGUUCAAAGAAUAAUCCUUUUUCUUUUUUUUCUUCAUUUUUCCAGAACAUGCAAAUGCAAGUUAUUGAUGAAAUGUUGCAAUCUUUUAUACCUCUCAGACCUCGCUCUAAGCCUAAGAUAGCCCUUUCCUUCUUGCUAACUUAUAGCCUCCAAAGUUCUCAUCCGCUCCCAAUUGCACUUGCUAUCCUACAAUGGACUCUGUGUUCUGGCUGCUUUCCAGUUUCUCAGACACAUGUUCUCCUCACUUCUGUUUGGUUGGUGUUUUCCAAUUCUCUUUAAUACUGACGAUAUUUAAUUUUCCUUUUCAGGAUUCCAUUUCUUCCGAGAGAAUAACUAUGGAAUUCAGUUUGUGUUUUAUUUUAUCUAUGUAAACUUACAAAUUGCCUUUGCAAUUCUGGUGGCUGCCCUGUUUUUGAAUGUUAAGACUGCUACAGUUACAGCAUAUAUAGUUGUCUUCGGAACUGGACUGGUAGCUGCCUUUCUUUUCCCAGAUUUGAUGAAGAAUGAUCUAUUUCCAAGUAAGUUAAAUGGCUGAAGAAGGAACAUUUCAUAUUCAAGGCGAGAAUGAAUAUGCUAAGGUUUUGGGGGGUUUGGGUGCGUGUAAUACACACUCAUUUAAUGGAAUUGGGUUUUUUUGUGAUGGAGCAGCUUGGUUGGACUUGAAUGAAAAAUUACAUAGAUGUGUUGGAGAAAACUCGAUAUAGCAUUAAGGCUGAAUUUGACAAUUUUGAGGGGAACUCAAGGAGGAGAAGGAAGCAACGGGAUUCUAAGAAGGAUCUGUUGACUGAAUUGUUUGAGACAAGUAUACUUGACCUAUCUGACUGUGUGCUCAUAACUUCAAUGAUAUGACAGAUUACUUUGAUGUACA